GACAUCUUGGCGGAGUGGUUAACGCGACAGACUUGAAUUAUAUUGAUAUCUGUUUCCCCAGGGAGCGUAGGUUCAAGUCCUGCAGAUGUCG